rnacentral:rRNA from 1 species
GGUUUGGCAGGGGUUUACGAACUCCGCAUGGUGAAGGAAAGUGCCAAGAAAAGCUGGUAAUGUGAUGAAAGCAUCAUACCCGUACCCGAAACCGACACAGGUAGGGAGGUUGAGAAUACCUAGGGGCGCGAGAUAACUCUCUCUAAGGAACUCGGCAAAAUGGCCCCGUAACUUCGGAAGAAGGGGUGCCCACGAGAGUGGGUCGCAGUGAAGAGAUCCAGGCGACUGUUUACCAAAAACACAGGUCUCCGCUAACUCGAAAGAGGACGUAUGGGGGCUGACGCCUGCCCAGUGCCGGAAGGUUAAGGAAGUUGGUCAGGGGUUCGCCCUGAAGCUGACGACCGAAGCCCCGGUGAACGGCGGCCGUAACUAUAACGGUCCUAAGGUAGCGAAAUUCCUUGUCGGGUAAGUUCCGACCCGCACGAAAGGCGUAACGAUCUGGAUGGUGUCUCAGAGAGAGACUCGGCGAAAUAGGAAUGUCUGUGAAGAUACGGACUGCCUGCACCUGGACAGAAAGACCCUAUGAAGCUUUACUGUAGCCUGGAAUUGUGUUCGGGCUUGGCUUGCGCAGGAUAGGUGGGAAGCACAGAAGUACCCCUUGUGGGGGGUAUGGAGCUAACGGUGAGAUACCACUCUGGCGAAGCUAGAAUUCUAACCUAGCACCCUCAGCGGGUGUAGGAACAGUUUCAGGUGGGCAGUUUGACUGGGGCGGUCGCCUCCUAAAAGGUAACGGAGGCGCGCAAAGGUUCUCUCAGCACGCUUGGAAACCGUGCGGCGAGUGUAAAGGCAUAAAGAGAGCUUGACUGCAAGAGUGACAACUCAAGCAGGGACGAAAGUCGGCCUUAGUGAUCCGACGGCACAGAAUGGAAUGGCCGUCGCUCAACGGAUAAAAGUUACUCUAGGGAUAACAGGCUGAUCUCCCCCAAGAGUCCACAUCGACGGGGAGGUUUGGCACCUCGAUGUCGGCUCAUCGCAACCUGGGGCGGAAGUACGUCCCAAGGGUUGGGCUUUCGCCCAUUAAAGCGGUACGUGAGCUGGGUUCAGGACGUCGUGAGACAGUUCGGUCCAUAUCCGGUGCAGGCGUAAGAGCAUUGAGAGGAGCCUUCCUUAGUACGAGAGGACCGGGAAGGACGCACCGCUGGUGUACCAGUUAUUCCACCAGGAGUAGACGCUGGGUAGCUAAGUGCGGAGCGGAUAACCGCUGAAAGCAUCUAAGUGGGAAGCCCACCUCAAGAUGAGUGCUCUCACUACUUAAGUAGGUAAGGUCACGGGCAGAACACCCGUUUAUAGGCUCUAAGUGGAAGUACAGCAAUGUAUGUAGCUGAGGAGUCCUAACAGACCGAGGGCUUG